GACGAACGCUGGCGGCGCGCUUAAUACAUGCAAGUCGAGCGAGAACCGGAGCUUCGGCUCCGGGGACAGCGGCGAACGGGUGAGUAACACGUGGGUAACCUGCCCUCGGCACCGGGAUAGCCCGGGGAAACCCGGAUUAAUACCGGACGGCCCUUCCGCUUUUCGGAGCGGUCGGACAAGGCAGCUUCGGCCUCCGGCCGAGGAUGGGCCCGCGGCGGAUUAGCUUGUUGGGGAGGUAACGGCUCACCAAGGCUCCGAUCCGUAGCUGGUCUGAGAGGACGAUCAGCCACACUGGGACUGAGACACGGCCCAGACUCCUACGGGAGGCAGCAGUAGGGAAUCUUGCACAAUGGGCGCAAGCCUGAUGCAGCGACGCCGCGUGCGGGAAGACGGCCUUCGGGUUGUAAACCGCUUUCAGGAGGGACGAAGCCACUCGGGUGAACAGCCCAGAGGGUGACGGUACCUCCAGAAGAAGCCCCGGCUAACUACGUGCCAGCCGCCGCAGUAACAC
rnacentral:rRNA from 1 species